UCGCAAAUUCGAUCACUAGCUCUGCAUGAUGUUGCGGAAGCAAGGGAAACAGAUUUGCUAAAGUAAACAUGGUAAUAGAACCUUAUUAGCCUUAGAUAUCACAUGACAUGGGCUGUUCAUUCUGUACCAUGACAACU
ensembl:snoRNA SNORA66 Small nucleolar RNA SNORA66